rnacentral:rRNA from 1 species
GCAGUCGAACGAGGUAACAAUACCUAGUGGCGCACGGGUGAGUAACGCGUGGAUAAUCUGCCCUUCACUGGGGAAUAACUAAUCGAAAGGUUAGCUAAUACCGCAUGAGGCCACAGUUUCUGAGGAAGCAGUGGUUAAAGAUUUAUUGGUGAAGGAUGAGUCUGCGUGGGAUUAGCUAGUUGGUGAGGUAAUGGCUCACCAAGGCUACGAUCUCUAACAGGUCUGAGAGGAUGACCUGUCACACUGGAACUGAGACACGGUCCAGACUCCUACGGGAGGCAGCAGUAGGGAAUAUUGCGCAAUGGACGAAAGUCUGACGCAGCGACGCCGCGUGAGUGAUGAAGGCCUUAGGGUCGUAAAGCUCUGUUGCAGGGGAAGAAAAAAAUGACGGUACCCUGCGAGAAAGGAUCGGCUAACUUCGUGCCAGCAGCCGCGGUAAGACGAGGGAUCCUAGCGUUGUUCGGAAUCAUUGGGCGUAAAGCGCAUGUAGGCUGCCAUUCAAGUCAGUUGUGAAAGCCCCGGGCUCAACCCGGGAAGUGCUUCUGAUACUGUUUGGCUUGAGUACUAGAGAGGAUAGUAGAAUUCCAGGUGUAGUGGUGAAAUACGUAGAUAUCUGGAGGAAUACCGGUGG